UAUGCUUAUCCCUACCCUGCCCAAGGUUACUACCAAGGCCCUCCUGUAGUGGCACCUCCACAGUAUUAUUCUGCUCCUCCACCUCCACAGUAUUAUGCUGCUCCUCCACCUCCCAGAAGAGAACCUGGUUUCCUCGAGGGAUGUCUGGCGGCUCUGUGUUGCUGUUGCCUCGUUGAUGAGUGUUGCUGUGACCCUUCCAUCAUCUUCAUCAGCUGAUCCCUUCUUGUGGUGGUGUCUCCCAUUGGUCUUUUCCUUCUACGUUAAUUCCCCACUUUUAAGAUUUCCAUAAUCUUGAUUAGCGGCCAUGUUGAAUCACUAAAACAUUGUACUAGUAAUCAUGUGUAAUCACUCCAAUUGAAUGUAUGAAACUUUGCAGUAACCAUGGUUAAUCAGUCCAAAUGAAUGUAUGUGGAUGUGAUGCUCUUUGUUUA